AUCUCCCUACGGGGCGCAGCAGUGAGGAAUAUUGGUCAAUGGGCGCGAGCCUGAACCAGCCAAGUAGCGUGAAGGAUGACUGCCCUACGGGUUGUAAACUUCUUUUAUAAAGGAAUAAAGUGAGGCACGUGUGCCUUUUUGUAUGUAUUUUAUGAAUAAGGAUCGGCUAACUCCGUGCCAGCAGCCGCGGUAAUACGGAGGAUCCGAGCGUUAUCCGGAUUUAUUGGGUUUAAAGGGAGCGUAGAUGGGUUGUUAGGUCAGUUGU
rnacentral:rRNA from 1 species